GGUUUGUGGCUCAGAGGUAUAGCACUCACCUAGCAUGCGUGAGGCACUGGGUUUGAUCCUCAGCACCA
rnacentral:tRNA from 1 species